rnacentral:rRNA from 1 species
GAUGAACGCUGACAGAAUGCUUAACACAUGCAAGUCUACUUGAAACACUUUCGGGUGUGGAUGGUGGCGGACGGGUGAGUAACGCGUAAAGAACUUGCCCCUUAGCCUGGGACAACUGUUGGAAACGACAGCUAAUACCGGAUAUUAUGAGACUCUGGCAUCAGAGACUUAUGAAAGCUAUAUGCGCUAAGGGAGAGCUUUGCGUCCUAUUAGCUAGUUGGUGAGGUAAUGGCUCACCAAGGCGACGAUAGGUAGCCGGCCUGAGAGGGUGAACGGCCACAAGGGGACUGAGACACGGCCCUUACUCCUACGGGAGGCAGCAGUGGGGAAUAUUGGACAAUGGACCAAAAGUCUGAUCCAGCAAUUCUGUGUGCUUGAUGAAGGCCUUCGGUGUAAGAGCUUAAGUAGGUAAGAGAAAGUGACGGUACUACAGAAUAAGNGACGGCGUAAAUACGUAGCC